UACGGAGGGAGCUAGCGUUGUUCGGAAUCACUGGGCGUAAAGCGCACGUAGGCGGAUUUGUAAGUCAGGGGUGAAAUCCCGGGGCUCAACCUCGGAACUGCCUUUGAUACUGCGAAUCUUGAGUCCGAUAGAGGUGGGUGGAAUUCCUAGUGUAGAGGUGAAAUUCGUAGAUAUUAGGAAGAACACCGGUGGCGAAGGCGGCCCACUGGAUCGGUACUGACGCUGAGGUGCGAAAGCGUGGGGAGCAAACAGG
rnacentral:rRNA from 1 species